rnacentral:lncRNA from 1 species
ACAGCAUCCAUUGUUUUAUUGAAAGUCUCAUGUCGGGGAAACAGAAUUGAGAGUUCAUUCAGAUACUAGAACAUUAGAAAUAAGGUUAGUAACUAUUGAAGGGAGACCACUUAGGAGCAUGUUUGGCCCCUAAUGAAAUGCUUUGGUGUAUAGGAAGAAGCAAUAUAGAAUGAAAUAUGAAGGAGACCACCAGCCUGGUCUCGGGGAGAGCAGCCAUGAACAGGAACCUGCUAGACUCUUAGCAGGUGGCGAGCAAAGAUGUGACUGGGCAGCUGAUUGGCUGCAGUCUGUGAGGGACUCAUGAAAUCCAGUACAGUGCCUUCAAGCAGAUGGUAGUAAAACGCUUGGCCUUGGUCUCUCCAUGAGAAGACUAAUGUUUCUAUUUCUCUCUGCAUAUAAAAGCAUUCAUGACUCAUGAUUUCUUUAGAAAUUCCUUGCACUCUUAUCUUACCCAACAGCAACAGAGAAGUCAGGUCCUGCAUUGCACAACUAGGUUAUGCUAAAAAUCCAUAUGUUUAGAGCUCCUCUGUUCCCAUAGUAGUUGACAUGCAUUUUCUCUGCUAGGACAACGGUGGUGGAAUGCACCCACCAGACUCAUCAGUCAGGCUUCACAAGUGCCUGUUGCCAAGAGAAGUUGGAGCAAACCUUGGUGGCCAAAACUUCUACACCUUCUGUCAAAGAAAGCAUUUUUACAAAAGCUGAUUUCCGCCAGAGGCUAUAACGAGAUCCCUCCCAGAAUUGAAGGAAUAUUGUUACUCCUUCCAGAUGGCAUGCACACUUACGCUAAAUUACCUCAGUCUGGAAGUCCCAGCAGAUAUUUUCCUUGUAAUCAAAUACAAUAAAUGAGUGUCUCCAGUUGAACAGUGAAUUUCAUAUUAUGCAGUAAAUGCAAGUGGAGACUGAUAAGUCAUUGGAUGUAUAUGAGGAUUUGGAGAGUGAGGGAGGCGAGGGGAGAGAAGCAGAGAAUAGCAUUCUCGCUUUGCGUCAGCCACAUGAUUUCUGUGUCACUACAUAAAUGCAUUUCUUUCAGGUGAACAAAUUCAUUGUUUUAUAAUCAGUCUAAUAGCCUGUUGGAUUCAUAUGCAAACAUCGGUAUAUAACCAGACUUAGGACAUGUUAAGUGUCUUUUGCUAACAUUAACUAGGAAACUGUGAUGAGCAAGGUAGUAAUUUUAACUACUACUUUGAAUUGAAUGUUUCUUCUCAAUUACCUAGAUUGGCUCUUUGGGGCUCUCACUGAAAGAAUCCUGCUAGUGAAAUUUCUCUCUCUCUUUAUUUUU